GCCUCAUUUCCGGCGCAGCAGACGUUGAUCAAAAGUAAAUAAAAAGAUGAAAAGAGACAAAAAACCAAGACAACAACCGGUCAAACAAUGAAAUAUAGCAACAGGUACAUAUGGGAAGGCCAAUAAGCCAACAUAACAGCUUCUAUACGUAAUGAAACUCACAGCAGAAAAAUAUCAGUGAUUCUUUAAUUCAGAUGCAAGGGAUCCAUGCAAGCAAAGAACCAAGUA
rnacentral:lncRNA from 1 species